CGGGGGGAGCAAGCGUUGUUCGGAUUUACUGGGCGUAAAGGGCGCGUAGGCGGCCAGCGCAAGUCAGUUGUGAAAUCUCCGGGCUUAACUCGGAAAGGUCAACUGAUACUGCGCGGCUAGAGUGCAGAAGGGGCAACUGGAAUUCUCGGUGUAGCGGUGAAAUGCGUAGAUAUCGAGAGGAACACCUGCGGCGAAGGCGGGUUGCUGGGCUGACACUGACGCUGAUGCGCGAAAGCCAGGGGAGCGAACGGGAUUAGAUACCCCGGUAGUCCUGGCCUUAAACGAUGGAUGCUUGGUGUCUGGAGUUUUAUAGUCUCCGGGUGCCGUAGCUAACGCGUUAAGCAUCCCGCCUGGGGAGUACGGUCGCAAGACUG
rnacentral:rRNA from 1 species